CUUCCUCCAUACUCUUUAACUCUCUCUAGAAAGCCUAAAGUCCUCACUCCACCUCCAUCUCCUCUCCAUUUCGUCCCUCCUCCUUUCCCCCACUCUCACAACUUUUCUCCCACCAUUAUCACGCUCCAUAGAAGCCCUUGAAGCCCCAAGAGAAGUAGCAAAGCAAGGGAGAGCGUGGAAAAACUAGGGCGUAAAGUUAGAGUGAAGGUUGUGCUUCGAGGGAAUUGGUUCACAGGACGGUACCACCGCUUAAGAUCACCUCUCUUCCGCACUGAGGAUCAGGUUGAGCAGUGGCUGAUGAAGAUGAAGUGACGAGUGGAGCUUUUGUCAUAAGUCGAUUAAAUGAACUCUUGGAUACAUGUCUUCAUACAUGUAAUCAGAUUAUAUUUUCCGCUGCGUAUUCUUCAGUAAUAAGCCCUUUUGAAUUAAGUCGGAUUCAUCCGAACUUACUAGUUAUUUGAA